CAGUCGCCGCGGUAAUACGAAGGGGGCUAGCGUUGUUCGGAUUUACUGGGCGUAAAGGGCGCGUAGGCGGGCGAAUAAGUCAGGGGUGAAAUCCCAAGGCUCAACCUUGGAACUGCCUUUGAUACUGUUUGUCUUGAGUUCGAGAGAGGUAAGUGGAACUGCGAGUGUAGAGGUGAAAUUCGUAGAUAUUCGCAAGAACACCAGUGGCGAAGGCGGCUUACUGGCUCGAAACUGACGCUGAGGCGCGAAAGCGUGGGGAGCAAACAGGAUUAGAUACCCCCGUAGUCCCUGUCUCUUAUAC
rnacentral:rRNA from 1 species